GAGAUGAGCAUCCUCUACAGAUCAUGUAGGCAGGAGUGUCCUCCUCAAGGCAACAUCUGCCAAGUCCCCGUCUACCAACGCAGCUUCAGGAUGGAGAACCAGGAACCCACCAGAGACUGUUGAUCCCAGCCAGGAGUAUCUCAUCCCAUGAGCUACAUUAACCCCACAACAAGAUGCAGGAUUAUAAAGCUACCUGAAACAGCAUAGAGACAACCUUGAAGACCGUCCUGCUCAGCACAGCCCCGAAGGGCCCAGAAGAGCACUAGACACGCUCUCAAUGAAACAUCUGUCCUGUCCCCUUCCUCUCUCCUGUCCCUUCCUCUCUGUUUCCUUGCCCUUUUCACUCUUCUGGACACAGCCUCUGAAGACUAUCAUGUCCUGCACAAUUACAAUCUUGUUGUCACCCU
rnacentral:lncRNA from 1 species